AGGAGGUAGUAGCAGAAGAAAAUGGAAAUGAACUAAGGAAUGAGGAGGAUGUAGAGGAGCAUCAUGAAGAAAAAGAAGCAGAAGAAGAAGGAAUUGUUGAUGGAGACUCUACGGAUGGAGCUGUACUUGUUAACGGAAGUGAGGCUGACGAAGAGUGGGGUACGAAUAAUGAAGGAAACCCAUCAGCCUAAUAGCAAGUCGGUCAAGGCCAAUGUUGAAAAGUCUGAAAAUUUUGUCUCUGUGCUUACACCGCGUCAGUAGAGUUUACAGUUUAUGGGAAUGGCGAUUGUUCCAGGAACAGUGGAGAGGUGAGAGAACUUUCAUUCUUUUUCCUUUUCUUACUGAGGAUUCAAAGGCCAAAUCCGAGCAGCCUGGAAACACAUUUUGAUACCAUUUUGUAAUAAAAGUAAGAAUUUCUUAAGAAAAUUAAAAUCCGAGCAGGACUCAGUUCUUUGCUGGAGGAUUUAGAUGAAAAGAGAGAGGCUGGUGAGUUAAAAGGAGGUGUGGUUGUUCCUUUUUGUGUCUUUGCACUCAUAGCGAAAUUUAUUAUCAUAUGGUUUUGUUUUGUUUUUA